rnacentral:rRNA from 1 species
AAGCGGAGGAAAAGAAACCAACAGGGAUUGCCCCAGUAACGGCGAGUGAAGCGGCAACAGCUCAAAUUUGAAAUCUGGCCCCCCGCGGGCCCGAGUUGUACUUUGGAGAGGACGCUUCUGGCGCGGCGCCGUCCGAGUUCCCUGGAACGGGACGCCGGAGAGGGUGAGAGCCCCGUACGGGCGGCCGCCUAGCCUCUGCGAAGCUCCUUCGACGAGUCGAGUAGUUUGGGAAUGCUGCUCAAAAUGGGAGGUAAAUUUCUUCUAAAGCUAAAUACCGGCCAGAGACCGAUAGCGCACAAGUAGAGUGAUCGAAAGAUGAAAAGCACUUUGAAAAGAGGGUCAAACAGUACGUGAAAUUGUUGAAAGGGAAGCGCCUGUGGCCAGACUUGCGCCCCGCGGACCACCCGGCGCCUCGCGCGCCGGGGCACGCCAGCGGGGCGCAGGCCAGCAUCGGCUCUCUCGGGGGGACAAAGGCCGCGGGAACGUAGCGCCCUCGCGGCGUAUUAUAGCCCGCGGCGCCAUGCCCCCGGGGGGGCCGAGGACCGCGCUCCGGCAAGGAUGCUGGCGUAAUGGCCACCGGCGACCCGUCUUGAAACACGGACCAAGGAGUCAAGCAUUGGGGCGAGUGUCUGGGUGGCAAGCCCGCACGCGGAAUGAAAGUGAACGCAGGUGGGAGCUUCGGCGCACCACCGACCGAUCCUGAUGUCCUCGGAUGGAUUUGAGUAGGAGCCCCGCCGCUUGGACCCGAAAGAUGGUGAACUAUGCCUGUAUAGGGUGAAGCCAGAGGAAACUCUGGUGGAGGCCCGCAGCG